rnacentral:rRNA from 1 species
GACGAACGCUGGCGGCGUGCUUAACACAUGCAAGUCGAACGGAAAGGCCCUUCGGGGUACUCGAGUGGCGAACGGGUGAGUAACACGUGGGUGAUCUGCCCUGCACUUUGGGAUAAGCCUGGGAAACUGGGUCUAAUACCGGAUAGGACUACGGCCUGCAUGGGUUGUGGUGGAAAGCUUUUUGCGGUGUGGGAUGGGCCCGCGGCCUAUCAGCUUGUUGGUGGGUGAUGGCCUACCAAGGCGACGACGGGUAGCCGGCCUGAGAGGGUGACCGGCCACACUGGGACUGAGAUACGGCCCAGACUCCUACGGGAGGCAGCAGUGGGGAAUAUUGCACAAUGGGCGCAAGCCUGAUGCAGCGACGCCGCGUGGGGGAUGACGGCCUUCGGGUUGUAAACCGUCUUUCAGUAGGACGAAGCGUAAGUGACGGUACC